UUGAGAGACUACAUCACAUAAUGCUAACCCUGGAUGUUUUUCAUCGACACUAAAACAAUCAUAUUCACAUAAUUAAAUAAUUGGUCAAUACCAAUUAACUUUAUCUCACUCUCAUUGAGAUAUACUACAAUGCGUAUUACAUAGGCCUGUUCAAUUUCGACUUCCUUAUUAUAGUAAUAUAGUAAUACAACUAAAAACAACGUAAUUAUCUGCGAACAUGCUUUGUAUUUUGUCCGCGAUUCUGGAGUGGACUGUGCCUGUGUGUCGCUGCCUGGCUCUUUCAAUGAGAAAGCAUUGAAUCUGCUGCUUCUGGAAGAGAAGAGUGCACUCACUCACUGUACAUCUUUUCGACGCCUCUAUCAUCUCUUUCCUCAUAAAGGAAUCAAAAUGGAACAUCCUAAAUGAAUCGAAAGGCAUCUGUAACAAACUGCUCUGCCACACAAAGCAAGCCACUCCCUAAGAACGUUUGGAAAGGCGUGAGUGUAUAUCAGUUCAAGUAGGUCAGGCUGGAGUCCAGAUGGGCAAUGCAUGCUGGGAAAUCUACUGUCUGGAGCACGGGAUCCAGAUGCCCAGUGACAAGACCAUCGGAGGAGGAGACGACUCCUUCAACACCUUCUUCAGUGAGACUGGAGCUGGCAAGCACGUCCCCAGGGCUGUGUUUGUAGAUCUGGAGCCACUGUCAUUGAUGAGGUGCGUUCUGGAACUUACCGCCAGCUCUUCCACCCUGAGCAGCUGAUCACUGGGAAGGAGGAUGCAGCCAACAACUACGCCCGUG